CCUACGGGGGGCAGCAGUGGGGAAUAUUGGACAAUGGGCGAAAGCCUGAUCCAGCAAUGCCGCGUGAGUGAUGAAGGCCUUAGGGUUGUAAAGCUCUUUUACCAGGGAUGAUAAUGACAGUACCUGGAGAAUAAGCUCCGGCUAACUCCGUGCCAGCAGCCGCGGUAAUACGGAGGGAGCUAGCGUUGUUCGGAAUUACUGGGCGUAAAGCGCACGUAGGCGGUUUUUCAAGUCAGGGGUGAAAGCCCGGAGAGCAACUCCGGAAGUGCCCUUGAAAAUGGAUGACUAGAAGCUUGGAGAGGGCAGUGGAAUUCCGAGUGUAGAGGUGAAAUUCGUAGAUAUUCGGAAGAACACCAGUGGCGAAGGCGACUGACUGGAAAAGGAUUGACGCUGAGGUGCGAAAGCGUGGGGAGCAAACAGGAUUAGAUACCCGAGUAGUC
rnacentral:rRNA from 1 species